rnacentral:rRNA from 1 species
UACAGAGGUCUCAAGCGUUGUUCGGAAUCACUGGGCGUAAGGGUGCGUAGGCGGCGCAGCAAGUCAGAUGUGAAAUCCGGAGGCUCAACCUCCGAAAUGCAUCCGAAACUGCUGUGCUCGAGAUCUGUAGAGGGACUUGGAAUUCUCGGUGUAGCAGUGAAAUGCGUAGAUAUCGAGAAGAACGCUCGUGGCGAAGGCGAAGUCCUGGGCAGAUUCUGACGCUGAGGCACGAAGGCCAGGGGAGCAAACGGG